rnacentral:rRNA from 1 species
AUUGAACGCUGGCGGCAUGCUUUACACAUGCAAGUCGAACGGCAGCGAGAGAGAAGCUUGCUUCUCUUGUCGGCGAGUGGCGAACGAGUGAGUAAUACAUCGGAACGUACCCUGUAGUGGGGGAUAACUACUCGAGAGAGUAGCUAAUACCGCAUACAACCUGAGGGUAAAAGUGGGGGACCGCAAGGCCUCACGCUAUAGGAGCGGCCGAUGGAAGAUUAGCUAGUUGGUAGGGUAAAGGCCUACCAAGGCGACGAUCUUUAGCGGGUCUGAGAGGACGAUCCGCCACACUGGGACUGAGACACGGCCCAGACUCCUACGGGAGGCAGCAGUGGGGAAUUUUGGACAAUGGGCGAAAGCCUGAUCCAGCAAUGCCGCGUGAGUGAAGAAGGCCUUCGGGUUGUAAAGCUCUUUUGUUUGGGAAGAAAUCCUAACGGAUAAUACCUGUUGGGGAUGACGGUACCAAAAGAAUAAGCACCGGCUAACUACGUGCCAGCCGCCGCGGUAAUAC